rnacentral:rRNA from 1 species
AUUGCACGCUGGCGGCAGGCCUAACACAUGCAAGUCGAACGAGUGGCGGACGGGUGAGUAAUGUCUGGGAAACUGCCUGAUGGAUGGGGAUAACUACUGGAAACGGUAGCUAAUACCGCAUACCAUCAGAUGUGCCCAGAUGGGAUGAGCUUGUUGGUGGGGUAACGGCUCACCAAGGGGACGAUCCCUAGCUGGUCUUAGAGGAUGACCAGCCACACUGGAACUGAGACCCGGGCCAGACUCCAACGUGAGGCGGCAGUGGGAAAUAUUGCACAAUGGGCGAAAGCCUGAUGCAGCCAUGCGGGGUGUAGUAAGAAGGCCUUCGGGUUGGAAAGUGCUUUCAGCGGGGAGGCGUUACCCGCAGAAGAAGCACCGGCUAACUCCGUGCCAGCAGCCGCGGUAAUAC